UUUAUAUUCCUUUAUUUUGUGCAGAUGAUGAUGUAAAAGGCUGAACCAAAAAUAACAACUGAUCUUACAUACACCAUUCCUCUGCUGCAUUGGUAUAUCACAGCUGUGAUCUCCACAAGAAGCCAUCACUUAACUUGACUGGGUGAUUUUAAUCAAGUGACUACUCAGUAUGAUGAAGACGUUGAAAUGUCAUUGGCACAAAACUGCAAAAUGGUGUACAGUUUGGGCUAAUAGCAAAGGUUCUAGAAGAUGAUGCUGAAGGAGACAAAAGGAGGAAAGGAAGGAGCAUGGAAGUAUAACUUAGGUGGAGAGGAAUACAGGGUCUUUCAGGGGAGCAGUAGAAUCAGGUACAAGUAAGGAGCCUGGAGGUCAUCUGGUGCCUGGCCCAGGUGGGUAAAAGGUGACAUGUGGAACUCAAAAAAGGAAAAU
rnacentral:lncRNA from 1 species